rnacentral:misc_RNA from 1 species
UCCCGCUUACACGGGCAGUCUGUCUAAAGUGCUCCCCGAUUCAUCAUCGGAGGUGGCAACUAGACACAAGGGUUGCGUUCGUUGCUGGACUUAACCAAACACCUCACGGCACGAACUGACGACAGCCAUGCAGCACCUGUGCAGCACCCUCGAAGGCAUCCCAACUUUCAUCGGGACUGCAGCUGCAUGUCAAGCCCAGGUAAGGUUCUUCGCGUUGCAUCGAAUUAAGCCACAUGCUCCUCCGCUUGUGCGGGCCCCCGUCAAUUUCUUUGAGUUUUAACCUUGCGGCCGUACUCCCCAGGCGGCGCACUUAACGUGUUAACUCCGGCACGGAGAGGGUCAAAUCUCCCCACACCAAGUGCGCACCGUUUAGGGCUGGGACUAC